rnacentral:rRNA from 1 species
GGCGGCGCGCCUAACACAUGCAAGUCGAACGAGAGAUGAAGAGCUUGCUCUCAAAUCGAGUGGCGAACGGGUGAGUAACGCGUGAGGAACCUGCCUCAAAGAGGGGGACAACAGUUGGAAACGACUGCUAAUACCGCAUAAGCCCACGGCUCGGCAUCGAGCAGAGGGAAAAGGAGUGAUCCGCUUUGAGAUGGCCUCGCGUCCGAUUAGCUAGUUGGUGAGGUAACGGCCCACCAAGGCGACGAUCGGUAGCCGGACUGAGAGGUUGAACGGCCACAUUGGGACUGAGACACGGCCCAGACUCCUACGGGAGGCAGCAGUGGGGAAUAUUGCACAAUGGGGGAAACCCUGAUGCAGCGACGCCGCGUGGAGGAAGAAGGUCUUCGGAUUGUAAACUCCUGUUGUUGAGGAAGAUAAUGACGGUACUCAACAAGGAAGUGACGGCUAACUACGUG